AGCAGUCGCCGCGGGAAUACGUAGGGUGCAAGCGUUAAUCGGAAUUACUGGGCGUAAAGCGUGCGCAGGCGGUUCGUUAAGACAGAUGUGAAAUCCCCGGGCUUAACCUGGGAACUGCAUUUGUGACUGGCGGGCUAGAGUAUGGCAGAGGGGGGUAGAAUUCCACGUGUAGCAGUGAAAUGCGUAGAGAUGUGGAGGAAUACCGAUGGCGAAGGCAGCCCCCUGGGCCAAUACUGACGCUCAUGCACGAAAGCGUGGGGAGCAAACAGGAUUAGAUACCCCCGUAGUCCCUGUCUCUUAUAC
rnacentral:rRNA from 1 species